CCUACGGGUGGCAGCAGUGGGGAAUAUUGGGCAAUGGGCGCAAGCCUGACCCAGCAACGCCGCGUGAAGGAAGAAGGCUUUCGGGUUGUAACCUCUUUUAAAGGGGAAGAGCAGAAGACGGUACCCCUUUAAUAAACCACCGCUAACUACGGUCCAGCAGCCGCGGUAAUACGUAGGUGGCAAGCGUUGUUCGGAUUUACUGGGUGUAAAGGGCAUGCAGCCGGAGAGACAAGUCAGAUGUGAAAUCCACGGGCUCAACCCGUGAACUGCAUUUGAAACUGUUUCCCUUGAGUGUCGGAGAGGUAAUCGGAAUUCCUUGUGUAGCGGUGAAAUGCGUAGAUAUAAGGAAGAACACCAGUGGCGAAGGCGGAUUACUGGACGAUAACUGACGGUGAGGCGCGAAAGCGUGGGGAGCAAACAGGAUUAGAUACCCCAGUAGUC
rnacentral:rRNA from 1 species